UGCAGUUUGCAAAGUUUGGCAGUUUCUUGUAAAAUUUAACAUAUGCCUACCCUAUGACUCAGCAAUUUCACUCCUUUUCAUUUACCCAAGAGAAAUGAAAACAUACGUUCGCAAAAAAAUGUGUAUAAAAAUGUUCACUGGCUGGGUGCGGUGGCUCACACCUGUAAUCCCAGCACUUUGGGAGGCCAAGGCAGGCGGAUCAUGAGGUCAGGAGAUUGAGAUCAUCCUGGCCAAUAUGGUAAAACCCCGUCUCUACUAAAAUACAAAAAAUUAGCCGGGCAUGGUGGCGUGGGCCUAUAGUCUCAGCUACUCAGGAGGCUGAGGCAGGCGAUUCGCUUGAACCUGGGAGGCAGAAGUUGCAGUGAGCGGAGAUCAAGCCACUGCACUCCAGCCUGGCAACAGAGCAAGACUCAGUCUCAAAAAAAAAAAAAAAAAAAGUUCACAGCAGCUUUAUUCAAAUAGCCAAAACCUGAAAACAACUCAGUUGUCCAUCAAUAAGAGACUGGAUCAACUGUAGUGUAAUCACACAAUGGAAUAAGCUCAGUAAUAAAAAUGACACCAAACAACAUAGAUGGAUUGCAAAAAAACUAUGCUGAGUGAAAGAAGCCUUACACAAAAGAGUACACACUAUGUGAUUCCAUUUAUACAAAAUCCCAGAACAGGCAAAACUAAUCCAUGGGCAGAAAAAGCAUCCCUGAAGCCACUGCCUCUGGAGAUAAUGGGGUGGGGACUGACAUGAAAGAGGCAUGGGGGAACUUUCUGGAGUAAAGACUUUACAUGUUGACAGUGACUUGAGUUACACAUUGUACUGUAUGUACAUUUUACAUUCAAAGAAAAAACUGUAAACACACACUGAACUCCAGUUAAUCAUGUGCAUACUUAUGUAUUCCAGAGGAAGUACUCAUGUCUACAUUAUUUUAAAAUGCCUUAAAAACUGGAUUAAUGGAUUAAUACUUGCUUUACUACCUAUCUAAUAAAGUAAAUAAUAAAAUGUUAACUGUAAAAUCUAGGUAGUGGGUAUAUGAAUAUAUACUAUAAAUUUUUUUCACCUUAGUUGCAUGUUGAAAAUUUUCAUGACAAAACGUUAGAAAAAAAUGUUACUCCAAAGUCACAUAUUCCUAAUUUUUAAAAGUGGCAAUUUUAUGUAUAUGGAUGUAUAUUUUUAACCCAGGAGCAACCACUGAAAAAAAUUUUAAAAGGUAUAGCUAAGAAGCCAAUAGAGAAAAUAAAAUGGAAUACAAAAACAACAUUCAACUAAUGCAAAAUGAGUUCUAAGAGAAAGAGAAAAUAGGAGCAAAUGGAAAACACAGUAUGGUAGAUG
rnacentral:lncRNA from 1 species